rnacentral:rRNA from 1 species
GCAGCCGCCGCGGUAAUACGUAGGGUGCGAGCGUUAAUCGGAAUUACUGGGCGUAAAGCGUGCGCAGGCGGUUUUGUAAGACAGAGGUGAAAUCCCCGGGCUCAACCUGGGAACUGCCUUUGUGACUGCAAGGCUAGAGUACGGCAGAGGGGGAUGGAAUUCCGCGUGUAGCAGUGAAAUGCGUAGAUAUGCGGAGGAACACCGAUGGCGAAGGCAAUCCCCUGGGCCUGUACUGACGCUCAUGCACGAAAGCGUGGGGAGCAAACAGGAUUAGAUACCCCAGUAGUCCCUGUCUCUUAUAC